ACAGGAGUGCUUGCACUCCCGAUGCUUAGCGGCGGACGGGUGAGUAACACGUAGGUAACCUGCCUGUGAGACUGGGAUAACUACCGGAAACGGUAGCUAAUACCGGAUAGACAUUUUCCUCGCCUGAGGGAAAUGGGAAAGACGGAGCAAUCUGUCACUUGCAGAUGGACCUGCGGCGCAUUAGCUAGUUGGUGGGGUAACGGCUCACCAAGGCGACGAUGCGUAGCCGACCUGAGAGGGUGAUCGGCCACACUGGGACUGAGACACGGCCCAGACUCCUACGGGAGGCAGCAGUAGGGAAUCUUCCGCAAUGGACGAAAGUCUGACGGAGCAACGCCGCGUGAGUGAUGAAGGUUUUCGGAUCGUAAAGCUCUGUUGCCAGGGAAGAACGCCAGGGAGAGUAACUGCUCUCUGGGUGACGGUACCUGAGAAGAAAGCCCCGGCUAACUACGUGCCAGCAGCCGCGGUAAUACGUAGGGGGCAAGCGUUGUCCGGAAUUAUUGGGCGUAAAGCGCGCGCAGGCGGUGAUGUAAGUUGGGUGUUUAAACCUAGGGCUCAACCUUGGGUCGCAUCCAAAACUGCAUGACUUGAGUACAGAAGAGGAAAGUGGAAUUCCACGUGUAGCGGUGAAAUGCGUAGAGAUGUGGAGGAACACCAGUGGCGAAGGCGACUUUCUGGGCUGU
rnacentral:rRNA from 1 species